rnacentral:lncRNA from 1 species
CAGUUUUUAAAAUAUGACAAAAAACGCGCAGUUUUAUUUGUAUCCCGAUAAUAGUGAACACAUCUCUUUUAUAUCGCAUUAAAUAAGGUAUAAUUGUUACAUAUGGUGAGGGAGAUAUUUUCUACUACUGUGAUGUUGUCAUUUGGAACCAAUGCGUUAUGAAAAUAUCAAAACUAUUAAGUGAAUUCUUACAUAUGUUAAAC